CAUCAAACGUGAGCCGUGUUGAAAAGAAAAAGGAGGGGAGUUAGACUGAUUUUUACAAAUCCCGAUUUCUUCUCUCUUGAACCAUCUCUCACCUGCGCCGACAGCAAAUCGUCGGUCUCCUCAUUCACCACUAUCUUUCUCGUGUUCCAUUAUUUUUGCUGUUACUC
ensembl:ncRNA Y41G9A.15 ncRNA